GACGAACGCUGGCGGCGUGCCUAAUACAUGCAAGUAGAACGCUGAAGAGAGGAGCUUGCUCUUCUGGCGUUAGUUGCGAACGGGUGAGUAACGCGUAGAUAACCUGCCUGUUAGCGUGGGAUAACUAUGGGAAACGAUAGCUAAUACCGCAUAAAAUGGAUUAUCGCAUGAUAAUCCAUUGAAAGGUGCAAAUGCAUCACUACCAGAUGGACCUGCGGUGUAUUAGCUAGUUUGUGGGGUAACGGCUCUACAAGGGGAACAUACAUAGCCGACCCGAGAAGGUGAUCCGCCAAACUGGGAACGAGACACGGACCAGACUUCUAAGGGAGGCCGCAGUAGGGGAUCUUUGGCAAUGGACGGAAGUCUGACCGAGCAACGCCGCGUGAGGGAAGAAGGUUUUCGGAUCGUAAAGAUCUGUUGUAAGAGAAGAACGAGUGUGAGAGUGGACAGUUCACACUGUGACGGUACCUAAUCAGAAAGGGACGGCUAACUACGUG
rnacentral:rRNA from 1 species